rnacentral:rRNA from 1 species
CUACGUGCCAGCAGCCGCGGUAAUACGUAUGUCACAAGCGUUAUCCGGAUUUAUUGGGCGUAAAGCGCGUCUAGGUGGUUAUGUAAGUUUGAUGUGAAAAUGCAGGGCUCAACUCUGUAUUGCGUUGGAAACUGCAUGACUAGAGUACUGGAGAGGUAAGCGGAACUACAAGUGUAGAGGUGAAAUUCGUAGAUAUUUGUAGGAAUGCCGAUGGGGAAGCCAGCUUACUGGACAGAUACUGACGCUAAAGCGCGAAAGCGUGGGUAGCAAACAGGAUUAGAUACCCUGGUAGUCCACGCCGUAAACGAUGAUUACUAGGUGUUGGGGGUCGAACCUCAGCGCCCAAGCAAACGCGAUAAGUAAUCCGCCUGGGGAGUACGUACGCAAGUAUGAAACUCAAAGGAAUUGACGGGGACCCGCACAAGCGGAGGAACAUGUGGUUUAAUUCGAUGAUACGCGAGGAACCUUACCCGGGCUUGAA